rnacentral:snRNA from 1 species
AUUUCUUCUCAGCCUUUUGGCUAAGAUCAAGUGUAGUAUCUGUUCUUAUCAGUUUUAAUAUCUGAUAUGUCCUCUAUCCGAGGACAAUAUAUUAAAUGGAUUUUUGGAGCUUGGAGAUAGAAUAGAAGCUUGUUCAGUCCGCUCCAAGCAUCAACCUGGUAUUGCAGUACUUCCAGGAAUGGUGCACCCUCU